AGUGAACGCUGGCGGUAGGCCUAACACAUGCAAGUCGAACGGCAGCACAGUAAGAGCUUGCUCUUACGGGUGGCGAGUGGCGGACGGGUGAGGAAUACAUCGGAAUCUACUUUUUCGUGGGGGAUAACGUAGGGAAACUUACGCUAAUACCGCAUACGACCUACGGGUGAAAGCAGGGGAUCUUCGGACCUUGCGCGAUUGAAUGAGCCGAUGUCGGAGUAGCUAGUUGGCGGGGUAAAGGCCCACCAAGGCGACGAUCCGUAGCUGGUCUGAGAGGAUGAUCAGCGACACUGGAACUGGAACACGGUCCAGACUCCUACGGGAGGCAGCAGUGGGGAAUAUUGGACAAUGGGCGCAAGCCUGAUCCAGCCAUACCGCGUGGGUGAAGAAGGCCUUCGGGUUGUAAAGCCCUUUUGUUGGGAAAGAAAAGCAGCAGGUUAAUACCCCGCUGUUCUGACGGUACCCAAAGAAUAAGCACCGGCUAACUUCGUG
rnacentral:rRNA from 1 species